rnacentral:rRNA from 1 species
CCUGGCUCAGGAUGAACGCUGACAGAAUGCUUAACACAUGCAAGUCGAUUCGAUUUACCUUCGGGUAUUGAGGAUGGCGGACGGGUGAGUAACGCGUAAGGAACUUGCCUCUUGGACUGGGACAACUGUUGGAAACGACAGCUAAUACCGGAUAUUAUGAGAUUCUCGCAUGGGAAACUUAUGAAAGCUAUAUGCGCCAAGAGAGAGCCUUGCGUUCCAUUAGCUAGUUGGUGGGGUAAUGGCCCACCAAGGCGACGAUGGAUAGCCGGCCUGAGAGGGUGAACGGCCACAAGGGGACUGAGACACGGCCCUUACUCCUACGGGAGGCAGCAGUGGGGAAUAUUGGACAAUGGGCCACAAGCCUGAUCCAGCAAUUCUGUGUGCACGAUGAAGGUCUUCGGAUCGUAAAGUGCUUUCAGUUGGGAAGAAGAAAGUGACGGUACCAACAGAAGAAGCGACGGCUAAAUACGUGCCAGCAGCCGCGGUAAUACGUAUGUC